rnacentral:rRNA from 1 species
GUGGGGAAUAUUGGACAAUGGGGGGAACCCUGAUCCAGCCAUGCCGCGUGUGUGAAGAAGGCCUUUUGGUUGUAAAGCACUUUAAGCGAGGAGGAGGCUACCGAGAUUAAUACUCUUGGAUAGUGGACGUUACUCGCAGAAUAAGCACCGGCUAACUCUGUGCCAGCAGCCGCGGUAAUACAGAGGGUGCAAGCGUUAAUCGGAUUUACUGGGCGUAAAGCGCGCGUAGGUGGACAAUUAAGUCAAAUGUGAAAUCCCCGAGCUUAACUUGGGAAUUGCAUUCGAUACUGGUUGGCUAGAGUAUGGGAGAGGAUGGUAGAAUUCCAGGUGUAGCGGUGAAAUGCGUAGAGAUCUGGAGGAAUACCGAUGGCGAAGGCAGCCAUCUGGCCUAAUACUGACACUGAGGUGCGAAAGCAUGGGGAGCAAACAGGAUUAGAUACCCGUGUAGUCC